UACAUUGUGCCGGAGUUAAACGGGCUGUUUUGAUGUAGCAGUACAUAGAAACAGAAAGUUUCUCAAUGUAU
rnacentral:tRNA from 1 species